GCCACUUCUCCGACUCUUUCCCGCAUCCCGGGGCUAGGUCACUAGUCUGAGCACUAUGGCUAACAAGAGGAAGGAUCAGGAUGUCAUUCUUGUGACUGAAGCAUCUACUAGUAAGAUUAGGAUGAAGAUGAUGAAAAACUAGAAGGGCUUUACCCCUUCGUCAUUAGCAAGAGUCUCCAAACAAAUGGGCAAGAAGAAAAAGGGUGCGGUGGAGAAGGGAACUUGUUUCUACUGUGGCAAGGAUGGACAUUGGAAGAGGAGCUACCCUCACUGCCUUGAGUCGCUGAAGGCGAUCAAGAGAAAGAAACCUUCAGAAGGAACUAGCAAGCAGUAGGGGUCAUCGAAAGGAAUGAAGUCAACUUGAGAAUCGACAAUAGAGCAAGUGUUGCGGCCAAGGCUGGAGGAUCGACUUUAUUGCAUCUAGAUGGACAUAUUUUAUUUCUAGAUUGUGUUUUAGUGUUACUAAACAUCUAUUGAAACAUUAUUUCUAUUUCCAUUUUGACUAGGAGUGGUUAUUUGUUUGAUUUUAAGGAUAAUGUUUGCAGUAUUUUAUUAUGAUAAUAAAA